UCAAAGCCCGUGACCAUCGAACCAAAUGCAUCCGAUGGAGGUCUAUUACUUAGAUGGGGAUCAUUUGGCCCACGUGAGCUGGCCCGAUUCAAGGAACUAUUGGAGAAGCUUGCCGAAUUAAAGUCUGGUUGGCCCGAUCGGACUGGCCCGUUGCUUGAAGAGAUUGAAGGUCCAUCUACAAAUAUAGAAACAUGAUCUUAAAAGAUAUGAUAUUAUAGUCUUAGAGAUCUUAGAUAUGAUAUGGAAUCUUAUAAGAUAUUAUUUUAUAAGAUUACAUAUCUUAUCUAAGAUAUGUAAUCUUAGAAGAUAUGAUAUUAUAUUCUUAGAGAUUUGGUGGUAGGUAACCUUUAAUCUCGUCCGUCGAUGUAAUUGUAUCUUGACCGUCGGUUUUGGGGGAGCUCAAGUAUAAAUAGAGAGCCUCCCCCUCAUUUGUACUCACUCCAUUCAUUGUUUCAUUAUUCUUUGUGAAUAAGAGAAUAGAGAGCAUUUACUCAAACACUUUGUGUGCGUCCCUUUCUGUUGUUCUUAUAAGCUUCUUUUGGCAUAAGUAAGUCUUCCGCUGUACGAGUUAGUGCCUUGGAGGAGUUCUUAAAGAAUCCUCAUUCGAGUAAAGGCUGACUUGGGCGAGUUUGGACUAGCGAAUCGCCUAAGGCCGCACGGAUUGCGAGACUAAAGGUCUAGCCCCGUGACAAAAUGUCACGGGCCAGAGUUCAAAGCCCGUGACCAUCGAACCAAAUGCAUCCGAUGGAGGUCUAUUACUUAGAUGGGGAUCAUUUGGCCCACGUGAGCUGGCCCGAUUCAAGGAACUAUUGGAGAAGCUUGCCGAAUUAAAGUCUGGUUGGCCCGAUCGGACUGGCCCGUUGCUUGAAGAGAUUGAAGGUCCAUCUACAAAUAUAGAAACAUGAUCUUAAAAGAUAUGAUAUUAUAGUCUUAGAGAUCUUAGAUAUGAUAUGGAAUCUUAUAAGAUAUUAUUUUAUAAGAUUACAUAUCUUAUCUAAGAUAUGUAAUCUUAGAAGAUAUGAUAUUAUAUUCUUAGAGAUUUGGUGGUAGGUAACCUUUAAUCUCGUCCGUCGAUGUAAUUGUAUCUUGACCGUCGGUUUUGGGGGAGCUCAAGUAUAAAUAGAGAGCCUCCCCCUCAUUUGUACUCACUCCAUUCAUUGUUUCAUUAUUCUUUGUGAAUAAGAGAAUAGAGAGCAUUUACUCAAA